rnacentral:rRNA from 1 species
AUACGUAGGUGGCAAGCGUUGUCCGGAAUUAUUGGGCGUAAAGCGCGCGCAGGCGGUCCUUUAAGUCUGAUGUGAAAGCCCACGGCUCAACCGUGGAGGGUCAUUGGAAACUGGGGGACUUGAGUGCAGAAGAGGAAAGUGGAAUUCCAAGUGUAGCGGUGAAAUGCGUAGAGAUUUGGAGGAACACCAGUGGCGAAGGCGACUUUCUGGUCUGUAACUGGCGCUGAGGCGCGAAAGCGUGGGGAGCAAACAGGAUUAGAUACCCUGGUAGUCCACGCCGUAAACGAUGAGUGCUAAGUGUUAGGGGGUUUCCGCCCCUUAGUGCUGCAGCUAACGCAUUAAGCACUCCGCCUGGGGAGUACGGUCGCAAGACUGAAACUCAAAUGAAUUGGCGGGG